rnacentral:lncRNA from 1 species
CCCUGCGAUUAGCGCAGCAAUUUCACGAAUGAAACGGGGAGGGAAUGGUAUAGUCAUUAGCUGAAGGGGGAGAGGUUCAGUUGCUUGCUGUAUAGGAUCUUUCAGUCCGUGUAGGUUGUGGCGCAGAUUUGUUCGUGCUCUUGUCUGACGUUGUCAGUGUCGGUCAUGGAAAGAUAAGAUGCUGAUGUGUCGAGGGGGGUCUCUUUCUGGCUAACGUAUCAUUGCGCGCGGAGUCCAGGUAACGGGCAGAGAUUUUUGUAUGAAAGGUCAGCCUUUGAAACCGGAUGUAGAGAGGCGAUUUUUUUAUUUUUUGUUUUUUCUUGCCCAUCAUAUAUACAUUUUUGGUUUGCUUGCCUGUGAAUCUGGCGAGUUUGUUACCAUAUUGUCUUGAAGGUACAGCGGCUGCACAAGAUGUAUUCAUGAUUUAACUCUGUUGUUAUCAGGAACUGUCCACAUCGUGUCGAUUGCCGCUGGUGGAUGGGGAACAUUGUCAUGAACAGUGUGGACUCGACUUUUAACACUUAAUUUGCAACUCGGAAUCCUGAUUGGCGUUGUUAAACUCACCAGAAGUUGCUUCUCGAACCCCUUUCCUUAAGGCAUUUCAUGAUCAAACCUCAAAUGCUAGAGCAAUAGUUGUGGCGAUCACAUCUAGCCUAGCUACCGACAAUCCAAGCGAUAUUAUGUUCAUACGAAACAUUAUCGAUACAUGUUGAUGAACGUUUUCACCUUU